rnacentral:rRNA from 1 species
GUACCUACGGGGGGCAGCAGUGGGGGAUAUUGCACAAUGGGGGCAACCCUGAUGCAGCGACGCCGCGUGAGCGAUGGAGUACUUCGGUAUGUAAAGCUCUGUCAGCAGGGAAGAGAAUGACGGUACCUGACCAAGAAGCCCCGGCUAAAUACGUGCCAGCAGCCGCGGUAAUACGUAUGGGGGCAAGCGUUAUCCGGAUUUACUGGGUGUAAAGGGAGCGUAGACGGUGCAGCAAGUCUGAUGUGAAAGGUCGGGGCCCAACCCCGGGACUGCAUUGGAAACUGUUGAACUGGAGUACAGGAGAG